UUGGUUCAGCCUCUCACUGGCGGCUCUUAGCUCAGGAGGGUGUGAAUGCCAGUCCUCCGCAGCAAUGGCACAUUUCAAUGCCUGAAAAGAAACAAUGGGAGGUAAUGUAUUGCAUAGUGAGUGUCCUAACGUUUAUAGCUUAUUACGUGGUGACCUUGCGAAAAGGGGAAAAAAGAGCAGCUCCUGCUGUACUUCUACCACGCGGAGCACAUGGCACGACGUGGAGGCCACGCUGUGGCGCAGGAGGGAAACUGCCUUCGGCCUUUGAGCUCUUCGUUCUGAAUGAGCGAAAUGAGCCCCCGUGCUGUUUCAGGCUAACUGACUGAAGAUGGAUGCAUCUGCCCCGAGGAUCACCAGUUGGUUCUCCUGACUGCUAGGUGUUACAGGACUUUGGUCCUACCUUCCGUGAGGAGAGGUCUGCAGCCAUGGUGUUAAAAGUAGCUGGUCUAGAUGGAGACUGCUCUAGCCAAUCCACACACUGACAGAAAGGAGUCGACCGGACAGUUGGAACAGCUGCAAGCACCAACGUCUCUGGAAAUUCAACCCAAUGAUGGAUUCAUUUUUCAGGUACGUCUGUGGCAGCGCGAGAUGGAGCUCUUCGUUCUCUGAAAAGAGAACUGAGUUUACUGCCAUGAAGAAGGAUCACCGGUAGAACCGAGCCUGGAGAUGGAUGAAUACAGCUGACUGAAGAUGGAUGCAUCUGCCCCGAGGAUCACCAGUUGGUUCUCCUGACUGCUAGGUGUUACAGGACUUGGGUCCUACCUUCUGUGAGGAGAGGUCUGCAGCCAUGGUGUUAAAAGUAGCUGGUCUAGAUGGAGACUGCUCUAGCCAAUCCACACACUGACAGAAAGGAGUUGGCAUGACAGUUGGAACAGCUGCGAGCACCAACGUCAACCCAAUGAUGGCUUCAUUUUUCAGGUACGACUGUGGCAGCGCGAGAUGGACAUUCAGACACAAUGAACGGGCCAGGUUGAUGUAUAAAAUAUGGGCCGGUACCAAGUCAUCCAGGAAACCAAGCAUUGAUCGUUCAUAUAAAUAAAUGGGCUCUCCUGUCUUUUUUUUUUUUUUUUUUUCUUAUAUUAAAUUACUUUGACCCUCGACAUGCAGAUGUAUUUAAGGAUAUUUCAAAUAAAUGGUUAUC